GAUGAAGAACGCAGCGAAAUGCGAUACGUGGUGUGAAUUGCAGAAUUCAGUGAAUCAUCGAAUCUUUGAACGCACAUUGCACCUCUCGGUAUUCCGGGAGGUAUGCCUGUUCGAGCGUCAUUUGUACCCUCAAGCUCUGCUUGGUGUUGGGUGUUUGUUCCGCCUCUGUGUGUGAACUCGCCUCAAAACAAUUGGCAGCCGGCGUACUUGUUUCGGAGCGCAGCACAUUUUGCGAUCCAGAUCAACGUACAGCGGCAUCCAAGAAGCCUUAUUUAACGCUCUUGACCUCGGAUCAGGUAGGGAUACCCGCUGAACUUAAGCAUAUCAAUAAGCGGAGGA
rnacentral:misc_RNA from 1 species